GAUUUAAAACUUCCACUUGAAACUAGGCAAUGGUGCUUCUUCUCACCCAAUUUCACUUCCUGGCUGGGAAAUGAGUCUUCUGUGGAGGACAGGGUCCACGGUGCCUUUGAUAGAGGAUGGGUCAAAGUGUUAAGGGUAGGAGAGUGGGCGUACCUUGGCCUCAGGAAUCAAAGCUGAGGGCCAAAGGCCAACUGACUUCUAGUUACCCUUGCCAAGUUCUAGAUAGCUUGCCUGAGUGACCUCAUUGGUGACCCUGAGCAAAUUCCCUCAUGCUCUGACCCUCAGGGGCCUCCUAGGUAAAGUAGAUAUAGCAGUAGCAUUGGCCCAUAGGUGAUGAUACAAAUAACUCUCAUAAAACCCUGCCUGGAACACAGUACUGAGCAAACGUGAGAUGUCACCUGUGUGAUCAUCAUCUCAAAAGUAAAUAGAUCAGGGUCUUGGUAAGUAAGCUUUGCUUAUGCCUGGUUUUGUUGGGUUGGUUCCUCCUUCACAGUGAGGGAGGGCUGAGUGCUUGUCUCUGGAGGCAGAAGGAAUUGUGAGCACAGAGGGCUUGGGGAGAAGAGCUCUGUAUGGUCGGGCUACUCAAGAUGGCCAUUCUCUUGCUCUCUGCACAUCUUCUGCCCGACCAGUGUCUGCUUCACCUCUAUCUUACCCACACAACUGACCUUUCUAUGUGCUUGCCCCUGGCCCUAGCGAGUCAUCAUUCUUGUCAAAGGGCCAAUGAGGAGCAUGUCCCACUACUGGUUUCUGUGGUAACUAAUGAGCCCACCUGAUGUCAAUCCCCUUAUAACUGGUAAACUCCCCUUCCCCUUGGGAAGUAGUGAAGCGUACCACCAUGUCCUGCCCACUGCCAUCUGCUGCACACAGUAGGGUGUCACCCCAGGACCUUGCUUCAGACAUGCCCAUCGAGAACCUCUAACAGUGACAAAAGGGCAUUUUCAACCUCAGGCUCUAGGCUGAGACUUGAAGACAUGAAGAGGCAGUCUCCAGAGUCAGGGGCCUGCUGGGCUCUUCCUUGCCUGGCUUAUGAAGGAUACCUAUGGAAAGCAGAGGUCCAGCAUGUUUCCCACGCCAAUGGUUAUUAGCAUGCUCACCAAGGAUAAACCAUGGAGCAUCUGCAAGACCAUCAGUCCAGUGUUGCAUGCUGGUGAUAUGCAUAAACGGACCUGACUGAGAACGGUGGAGGGCUUCCCAGGUGGCUCAGUGGUAAAGAAUCUGCCUCCCAAUGCAGGACACAUGAAUUUGCUCCCUGGGUUGGGAAGAUCCCCUGGAGAAGG